GAAAUCACAGAGUGUGGGGCAGCCCGUGGCUCGGAACGUUUAGCCGCUUUUCGCGGCGCGCUGGAACCCACGGUUCCGAAUACAAACGGUCGGCGCGAGAGGAGCCCCGGGGCGCGGGCGCUAGGGCUCCGGGGCUGGACGCCUGGUUCUCGCCACUUUCUCGAGUUACUUGUGCUCCCUUCUUGGUCCGAUCGCCUUGGGAACCCUGCCCUUUGCCUGGCGGCUGCCUGCGGACGGGCUGUACUCCGUGGACAGGGUCUCCUGAAUGCUGUGCGCACCGAGGAUCCGGAGUUGUAGGCGAAUGAUCAGAUGAAAAGUUACAAGAUUUUUUAGGAGUUGGAGCUGAAUCUAAUAUUCAAUAAUGGCAACAGGUGACUUAAAAAGAAGCUUGCGGAAGCUAGAACAAGUACUUCGUUUGCUAAAUUACCCUAAUGAAGUGGAUUAUGUUGGUUUGAUGAGAGGGGACACCGCAGCAUCCUUGCCCAUCAUCAGCUAUUCUCUUACCUCGUACUCCCCUUAUGUAGCAGAGCUUCUCAUGGAAUCCAAUAUAGAGCUCAUAGCAAAGAAUGACGUGCGCUUCACAGACACCGUUUAUAAGCUUCUUCGUGAUCAAUUUGAUUAUAAGCCAAUUUUGACAAAAAAGCAGUUUAUACAGUCUGGAUUUGCUGAGUGGAAAAUCCAAAUUGUCUGUGAUGUGUUGAAUUGUGUGAUGAAAAAGCACAAGGAAUUGAUUGGCUCUGACAAGAAUCCAUCAUGCCAAAAAAAGAAGAACGUCUCUGAAAAGCCAGAACCUUGUUUGAGCAGUGAGAACCCCACUGUAGAGGCUGUUGGUGUUGACAUCACUGGCAGGUUCAUGACUUCAGGGAAGAAAAAAGCUGUGGUCAUCCGUCACCUGUACACUGAAGACAGCGCUGACAAGUCCGAAGGGACAGGAUGUUCGGCAGAAGUGAGUGAAGGCUGUGAAGAUUCAGAGCAGACCUCUGACAUCAUGAUUGCUGAGGAGCAGGUCUCCAAUGUUGUGAUUGCUGACGAGCAGGCCUCUGACGUCAAGACUGAGCUGAAAGACGUAUGUGAUAAUCCUGAGAUUAUUGCACUUCAGAUCGCACUUGCUGAAUGCCAAGAGAAGCUUAAGAGCCUGACCUGGGUAGAGAAAAGGCUUGAGUGUUUGGAAGCCACAACAAAAGGGAAAGUGAUGGUCGAUGAGAAGGCCUGGAAUAACCUCCUGAGCCGAGUCACUCUGCUUGAGACAGAGCUGCUGCUGUCUAAGAAGAAUGAAUGCGUAGAGCUUAAUGCAGCAAGUGAAGACUCUGACUCUGUUAGUGGCUUGGAUAAUGUGCCCUUUGAUAAACAGUACAGUAUGGGGGCACCAGCCAGUACGUACCGCUCAUCUGGCUAUAGCACAGUGUCAGCAGAAUCAACGUCCAGGGGCUCCACUAUUCAUUGUUGUGGACUGAAAGAUUUUUCGGAGGAAACAACAAUCCAGAAAAUGGAAAGAAUGAAAAAAAUGUUUGAAGAGACUGCAGAGCUACUGAAAUGCUCAAGUCGCUAACUAUAGAGUUUUUUGCAUGAACAUCUCUAGGACUUUGGCUACUUAUAGAUGAGUGAAGUCGUUACAUCAAGCUCUGUAUUUUUGUGUUGAUAUUUACUGGCUGUGUGCUAAGUAACAUAUUUUUAGAAGUAAGGGCUGGAGGACCAUUGUCUACAUCCUACUGAAGGCGUUGCACCUAGGACUUGUAUAUUGUCCCCAGGAGGCAGGCUCUCAUAUGUACAGUCUUGCAGUCUGUGCAGGUGAAUAAAUUUUAAUGCAAAGUUAAAAUGUUCACUGAGAACGAAACAAGUGCAGCUGUGUCUUCUUUAUUAACACUGCCAUACUGAAAGCAUGGUUCUUUAGUGUGUUCUAUGGGAAAUGUGCAGAGUGCCUAACACCAUCAGCACAGACAUAGAGGGAGGCCAUCCAUGUGAUACUCGGUGAAGGAGAUUUU